rnacentral:rRNA from 1 species
AGCAGCCGCGGUAAUUCCAGCUCCAAUAGCGUAUAUUAAAGUUGUUGCAGUUAAAAAGCUCGUAGUUGAAUUUCGGGAUUGGCGCAUCGGUCGUGCCUCACGGGGUAUGAACUGGUGCAGUCAAUUUCUCACCUUCUGGAGAACCGCGAUGUCCUUAAUUGGAUGCCGCGGGGAACCAGGACCUUUACUUUGAAAAAAUUAGAGUGUUUAAAGCAGGCAUUUUUGCUUGAAUACAUUAGCAUGGAAUAAUAAAAUAGGACGGCAUGGUUCUAUUUUGUUGGUUUCUAGGACCACCGUAAUGAUUAAUAGGGAUAGUUGGGGGCAUUAGUAUUCAAUUGUCAGAGGUGAAAUUCUUGGAUUUAUUGAAGACUAACUACUGCGAAAGCAUUUGCCAAGGAUGUUUUCAUUAAUCAAGAACGAAAGUUAGGGGAUCGAAGACGAUCAGAUACCGUCGUAGUCUUAACCAUAAACUAUGCCGACUAGGAAUCAGACGAUGUUAAUUUUUUAAU